rnacentral:antisense_RNA from 1 species
CCGCGGUGCCGGCCGACCCGGAAGCAUGUCUGUCCCUAGCGGAGGCGCGGGUGCCGUGGUGAGAGCGCCUGCCUGUGCGCCCCGAGCGGGGCCGGGACUCUUCCAAGAUGCCCAUGUUCGCACAGAGACCCCGGAUCGCGGAAGCUCGCGUCUCGAAAGGCGGUCUCACGCCCUGCCCGUCCUGGGUUCACGGUUUUUCAUCACCUGCGGCUGUCCUGCGAUCGACCACAGCUGUGCAGGAGGGACAGGAGGUAUCUGUUGCUGCAGUUACCGGAACCUUUGCCAGGACUAGUACAGGACCACGGGCUGGUAGCUCAGGGAUGUCUCGUCUGUGAGUUACAGCUGCACGCUCUCCAGGAAAGAAGGAAUUUUCUCUUCUCUGGAAACCCCACCACACAGCUGGUUUCUCAUUGGUGCUGCUUGCCCAUUUCCUGAGCUGUGACUGCCAGAGGAGUGGGAGGUUGGUGGUGCCUCCAGCCCAUCAGGGGCAGGCCCUGGGACCGCCUGGGAACAGGAGGACUAUGGCACAAACCGAGUUAGUGAUGGGAGCAACCCGCAGGGCUCUGCCGCAUCCCUGUCUUCCUUCACUGACAUGAAACGCAGAAAAGGCAGCUUUGCCACAACACAGCAGCACGCACCGAAUGUGGCUGCCCAAGGCUCUGUCCUUGACCCUGUUGUCCAGGACUGUUUACCAAGGGCUGACAGGCACUGAGUGCCCCGUGCACAUGGCCAGACACUGCACUCAUGCAGUGGAAAGGACAGUGAACGAGACUUGGUCCCUGGCCUCCAAAGGCUUAGGGCGUAGUGGCUGUCAUGAGGCGCAGUGACAAGGGCCAGGAGGGGGACCUCUUAGGGGGCCAUGCAGUGAUGGAAGCCAGAAAGAAUGAAGGCCUGCAGUGAGGAUGGAGUGGUCGGCCUGAAGCCAUCUCUAGCAAGUGGCCAGGACACUGAUUAUUCUGUGCAGGUUGGAGGUAGGUGGUGAGUCUGAGAAAGGGGCCAGAAAGACUCCCCAGCAACUGCUGGCAAAGGGUGAAGGGCACGUUCCCACAGGAUGCAAGCCAGCUGCCUUUGGAGGGGGGAUGGGCACUCAAUUUAGGCGCUCCUACAGCAGGGUCAGCAAGACAAGCAGGUUGCGGCAGGGGUCUGUGCACUGCUGCGUAAGUGUAGGGGGCAUCAGGAGGCAGACAGCCGCUGAUAACCAGCAUCUCAAGAGCCUUCCUGGGGCAGAAAGACCAGGGGAGAAGUGUGCAUCACCCUUGGGGUUAAGGGACAGUUGUCUGCUAGGUGUUGCUUCCUGGAGAUGGCUGAAAAGCCAGUCCAGUCUGCAGGGACCAGGCCACCACCCACCUGAUGUGGGAGCAUUUCCCCCAAUCCCUGCUGGGCUGCUGAAUCUGGGGGACAUAGGGAAGCUGAGGCUGGUGUUCUGAGUAGUGGCAGAGCUGAGCCACAGGGCAUGUCUGAGGUCAGCCCCGAGCAAAAUGGAGUAGGGACUCAGGGUGGGUCAGGUAACUGGGAAGCGGGCACUGUGCACGCAGCCCUUGAGGGGAGCCAGGGUGGAUGGGGAUCCCCCACUGUGUGCAGAAGGCAGCAGCCUUGGAAGCAGGGUGUGCUCCUCGGUGUGGUCGCUCGAUACCAGAAAAUGACUCUAAAAACUGAAGAGUGUUUGAGUUUCAUUCACACAAAACAUGGACGUCAUCUGUGAGGCUCUGUCCCAGAGAGACAGGGCCAUCCCUCAUGUCUGUUAUUGGGAUGUAGAUAAACAAAAGUAUAAAUCAAACAAACUGCAAAUUA